rnacentral:rRNA from 1 species
UACGGGGGGGGCAAGCGUUGUUCGGAAUUACUGGGCGUAAAGGGCUCGUAGGCGGCCAACUAAGUCGGACGUGAAAUUCCUCGGCUUAACCGGGGAACUGCAUCCGAUACUGGAGGGCUUGAGUUUGGGAGAGGGAUGCGGAAUUCCAGGUGUAGCGGUGAAAUGCGUAGAUAUCUGGAGGAACACCGGUGGCGAAGGCGGCAUCCUGGACCAACACUGACGCUGAGGAGCGAAAGCCAGGGGAGCAAACGGG